AGCUUUAAGAAUGCCAAGAUACAGUGUGAGAAGCUGCGAAGGAUGUACUCAAACCAGAGCAUCUUUGCACAGUCCUGGGCCAGGGCUUCCUGUUUGCUCCCCAGAAGGUGACUUGGUAGCAACUACACAGAGUUUAACAACUUGAGAAAGAGGUUUCUGCCCCACAGCAGCUGUGUCUCCUGUGCUGCAGAAGCUGCCAUGGAGAAUCAGGAGCAGCAUGAAAGAUGAUCUGCUGUGGGAAGCUGGUGAGGGAGGAGGCAGAGGAGAAGCCCCAGGAGUGAGAGCAGCAGGGAACAGGCACAAACGCAGAACCAAGCAAGACCAGCAAAGCCAGCAAGGUGACAAGAGAUGGAGGAGCAUCCCUGUGGAGACAACGGAGACCAUCAGCUGCUCAAGCUGGACAUUUCUCCUGGACAAAGGCAGAACGCUGCUCGACCUGUGAGAGAUUUCAGUAAGUAAAAUACAGUUUCACUCUGGGAUCUGUGCAUGAUGUGGAGGAUAAUUUAUCUUCCUUCUUCCUCCUGGGACUGCUAGUGGCAGUUUUUGCAUCAUUUUAGCUCUCCUGACCCAUCUUUGGUCCAUCCCUGUAGACUGCUGAAGGGUCAAAGGCUUCAGCCAGGGGCAGGAACAUCGUCUGUGGUUCUCCUGGUGCAGCAGAUUGGGCAGAAAGGCAGGGACAGAAUAAAGCCACAGCCCCCCCUACACAUAGCUCAGUGCUGGGGUGACAGUCAGGGACCCCAGGUCUGGUCUUGCAGGGUGCUGGAUCCUGGUGGAGUUUGCAGUGGGAACAGCUCUGCCCCAGCUUGUAUCUUCCAAGUGCUGAAUUGUUUUCUUGUUCUAAUUUAACAUAUUUAUAACACUGAAGUAAUAGAGUGAUCCGUAAGAGCCCAGCAUCAUCUGGGACUGGCAUACAGCCUGGCUGUCACACAUCCCUGAGGGAGGAGACAGGCUGAUCCCAGCCCAGGUAAGAGCUGGGGUGUCAGGAAAAGGGAGAAGGAAAUAGGGUGGCUGGGAAUGCUCUGGGAGAGAAGGCAGGUUGGCACCUUCCAAUCUGGGAGAGCCACCCAGGGAGGGCUGAGCCAGCAACAGGGUCUGGGGGGCAUUGCUGGGGUCACCCAGCACAGGGCUCUUCCCUAUGGGAACCUGUGUGUGCCAGGGCACUACUGGGAGCACUGCUCCCUCCUGGAGUCCCACUUUGCAGCUUUUAGUUUUAAUGCACUUAUCACAGAAUUCCAGAAUGGUUUGGGUGGGAAAGGACCUUAAAAACCACCUCUUCCCAACCCUCUGCCAUGGGCAGGGGCACCUUCCACUAAACCAGGUUGCUCAGAGCCUUUACAUUCAAUAACAAUACUUGUUCAAUAGUAAUAAUAAUUCCAUUUCUCACAGCAUUUUGGGUGUUCCCGGGGUUUGUUAUCACACCACGGGGCUGAAAGCACUAACAAAAAGCCGAGUGAGCUGAGGAGAGCCCGGCAGCCCCUCCCAGCACGUGGCACGGCCACCAGUCCCCCCCCCCCGGCAGCGGUUGCACCCGGUGAGGCUCUUUGUGCUGGGCACGGUGCCUGCUCCCUGCUCCAAAGGCACCUCGUGGCUGUUAUCCCGCUCCAUCCCAGGUGCUGGGCUGUGCAAACCCAGCGGUGCGUGAACCGUGGAGAACAACAGCAGACGAGCCCUGGGGAUGAGGUGGGUGCUGCCUGUGCACAGGAGCUUCGUGCUGGACAGAGAAAAGGGGGAGAAAUGUUGCUCUGACAGGGGAGAAGUGUUGCUGUUUCAGCCUCACAGUCCAGGGACUGCCCACCCUCCAGCCCGGGUGAGCUGUGGUUCUGUUGCUGCAGCGGGUGUGGGAAGGAGCACUAGACACGAAGCUUGACCCCUUCCCACCCCCCUGGGAAAGAAUGAGGGAGUCAGAAAGGGCAGGUAGGAUAAUUAAAGCAUCAGUCUCUCUGCCUUCCCGGUGCCUGGGGCAUCAGAGGGCUCCUCGUGGGGCUGUGCCACCCUCAUUUUUGGGUGCUGGUGGGCUCUGCCAGGCUGAUCAGGGCAGGCAGGAGCUGCCAAAUGUCCAAGGCUGCUCUGAGCUACCAAAUGUCCGGAAAUCUGCAAAUUGAGGGAGAAACUGGGAUACGUGAGCUGCAUCUGGGCCAGCCUGGAGCCUUGUCUGGGAGCUCUGUAUUUUCUUGUACCAGGUCCUUUCAUCUAAAGCCUUUUUUCACGGCUUUGCAGCUGUGGGAAAGGGGUGCUCCUGGAGCGCUGUUUGAGAGCUUGUGUGUACAAAAGAUGGAGAAAUAAACACGAUUUUUGGU